rnacentral:rRNA from 1 species
UGAUCCUGGCUCAGGACGAACGCUGGCGGCGUGCCUAACACAUGCAAGUCGAACGGAACUGUUUUGAAAGAUUUCUUCGGAAUGAAUUUGAUUCAGUUUAGUGGCGGACGGGUGAGUAACGCGUGAGUAACCUGCCUUCAAGAGGGGGAUAACAUUCUGAAAAGAAUGCUAAUACCGCAUGACAUAUCGGAACCACAUGGUUCUGAUAUCAAAGAUUUUAUCGCUUGAAGAUGGACUCGCGUCCGAUUAGUUAGUUGGUGAGGUAACGGCUCACCAAGACCGCGAUCGGUAGCCGGACUGAGAGGUUGAACGGCCACAUUGGGACUGAGACACGGCCCAGACUCCUACGGGAGGCAGCAGUGGGGGAUAUUGCGCAAUGGGGGCAACCCUGACGCAGCAACGCCGCGUGAAGGAUGAAGGUUUUCGGAUUGUAAACUUCUUUUAUUAAGGACGAAAAAUGACGGUACUUAAUGAAUAAGCUCCGGCUAACUACGUGCCAGCAGCCGCGGUAAUACGUAGGGAGCAAGCGUUGUCCGGAUUUACUGGGUGUAAAGGGUGCGUAGGCGGCUUUGCAAGUCAGAUGUGAAAUCUAUGGGCUCAACCCAUAAACUGCAUUUGAAACUGUAGAGCUUGAGUGAAGUAGAGGCAGGCGGAAUUCCCCGUGUAGCGGUGAAAUGCGUAGAGAUGGGGAGGAACACCAGUGGCGAAGGCGGCCUGCUGGGCUUUAACUGACGCUGAGGCACGAAAGCGUGGGUAGCAAACAGGAUUAGAUACCCUGGUAGUCCACGCUGUAAACGAUGAUUACUAGGUGUGGGGGGUCUGACCCCUUCCGUGCCGGAGUUAACACAAUAAGUAAUCCACCUGGGGAGUCCGGCCGCAAGGU